GGCGACUCAGACAGCCUGCCAGAGGGUAAGUGGCGUGUCACACAAAUGUCCACAUGCUUUGCCAUAGAUGUAAACGCAACAGAUACACAGAAGCAGGAAUUGAAAUGAACCACUAUUUUUAUUGUGUCACAGAAAUCAAUGUGUUGGCCGUGUCGCCAGCUUGCGGAACCCCGGCCCGCGGUAGCCCGUCCGCCGGCUCGGAGUCGUCGGCCAGGACCAGUGGCAUUCGGGCCACCCCAGCCCCAGCACCAGCGUGCUGACAAGCGGUGGAGCGUCCACCAGCCGCGGUGCUUUCACUGGACCACCCGGACCCAUUGGAAGGGUCCUCACGGAGGGGGUCCUGCAAUCGCAGGAAGAAAUCAUCAGGGGGAUCGCGGGGAUCAACGAGCGGCUGGACCAGCUCGUAAAUGUCCUCGAGUGUCUGGUGGAGAAAAUAAAUUAAUUUGGCUCAUUGAACUGUGUAUUCACUUCUUACCCAUUCACAAUGUGGCGAUGAGAUUCUCCCACGUGAGGAUGGGGGCCCGGCAGGGAUCAGCUCGCAUCCCUCCGUCUGCUGCUGGUUCGUCAUGUGGGGCGACGUGCUGCUCGUCCACGGAGAUGUGGUGCAGGUCCACUGCGAUGUGUGAACGCUGUCACAUAUUGAGUCACCAAACACCGCCACACAGCGUCGCCAAAGUGCCGUCAACGCAAGUAUUGGCUCAACGCCAACUUCUACACCACCUCCUCACUUUGCGUGGAUUUGCGCUGGAACCGACGCUCGUGUCGCGAUGAUAAAUCUGGACGUGUGCACCGAUCUUGGCGAACGCAAGGUUUUCUGGCGCCGCCAGCAUUGAUACAUGAGGCCCCAGGUUGCUGUGUUCAAGGAGUACAAUUUGAGUCAGCAUUAUGAGACAAAACACGCAGAGAAAUACAGACACUUGGCGGAGGCUGAGAGAGCGCAAAUUUCAGAAGACUUGAAGCCAAAGCUAGCAAAACAACAAGACUAUUUCACCAAGCUAUACACAGCCCGGGAUGCAGCGACCAAGACCAGCUUUGUAAUACCCCCAAAUCGCUAAAAACGGUAAGCCAUUCUCGGAUGGUGAGUUUGUGAAGGGGUGCUUGAGGAGAGCUGUGAUGUCCGUGACAUUGCCCAGUUACUGGUAUUUCUCCAAAGAAUAAGGCAGGACUUCAAGAUUACAGAGGAGCUGGCAGCAUUGAGGUCAAUAAAAGGAAAGACAACGGGGAGCGAUCUGUUCAAGGAGGUAGAUGCAUGCAUGGUCAAGCUUGGACUAAAAUGGGACAAACUGGUAGGUGUCACUACUGAUGGUUGUCCGAAUUUGACGGGGAAAAAUGUCGGACUUUUAAAAAAGAUCCAAGAUAAAGUGACUGAACUCGGCUCAGAGCAUAAGUUGGUGUUGAUACAAUGUAUUAUACAUCAGCAUGCGUUGUGCAGGUCUGUGCUAAAACUUCACCAUGUUAUUUAAGUUGUAACCAAAACGGUUAACUUUAUCAGGGCACGAGCAUUAAAUCACAGGCAGUUUGUUGCACUUUUAGAGGAGCAUGAGAAUGAACAUGGUGACAUCAGGUACCACACAGCUGUCAGAUGGCUCAGUCUAGGCAAAGUGCUAAAAAGAUUUUGGGACCUGAAAACAGAGAUUCAAGAGUUUUGUAAAAACAUUGAGGAUGAAAUGCACCUGGUUUCCUCUCCCUUUACCUGCAGAGUAGAUAAUGCACCCAGUGACGUUCAGCUAGAGCUCAUUGACCUGGCAGAGCACUUUAAGUCAGCAUCACUGCUGGAGUUCUACUCAUCUCUCAAGGAGGAGAACUUUCCAAACAUGAGG